AUACGGAGGGUGCGAGCGUUAAUCGGAAUUACUGGGCGUAAAGGGUCCGUAGGCGGUCUGCUUAGUCUGAUGUGAAAGCCCCGGGCUUAACCUGGGAAUGGCAUUGGAUACUGGCGGACUAGAGUCUGGUAGAGGGUGGUGGAAUUCCCGGUGGAGCGGUGAAAUGCGUAGAUAUCGGGAGGAACACCAGUGGCGAAGGCGGCCACCUGGACCAAGACUGACGCUGAGGGACGAAAGCGUGGGGAGCAAACAGGAUUAGAAACCCGAGUAGUCC
rnacentral:rRNA from 1 species